GACGAACGCUGGCGGCGUGCUUAACACAUGCAAGUCGUACGGUAAGGCCCUUUCGGGGGUCCACGAGUGGCGAACGGGUGCGUAACACGUGAGUAACCUGCCCACAACUUUGGGAUAACGCUAGGAAACUGGUGCUAAUACUGGAUAUGUGCUCCUGCUGCAUGGUGGGGGUUGGAAAGCUCCGGCGGUUGUGGAUGGACUCGCGGCCUAUCAGCUUGUUGGUGGGGUAGUGGCCUACCAAGGCGGCGACGGGUAGCCGGCCUGAGAGGGUGACCGGCCACAUUGGGACUGAGAUACGGCCCAGACUCCUACGGGAGGCAGCAGUGGGGAAUAUUGCACAAUGGGCGCAAGCCUGAUGCAGCAACGCCGCGUGCGGGAUGACGGCCUUCGGGUUGUAAACCGAUUUCAGCAGGGACGAAGCUUUUUGUGACGGUACCUGCAGAAGAAGCACCGGCUAACUACGUG
rnacentral:rRNA from 1 species